CGGGGAGUGGCGCAGCCCGGUAGCGCGCCUGCUUUGGGAGCAGGAUGUCGCAGGUUCGAAUCCUGUCUCCCCGACCA
rnacentral:tRNA from 9 species